CAGCGUGAUUUAAUCGAUAAUUCUGCGUUCACUUGUCGAAAAAUGAAAGAAAUGUUUUAAAAUGUUUUUAAAUCGACUUUCGAAGUUCAACGUCAACGCAACCGCCGCCAGGCUGCCAUGCAACUGAACUCGCUGCCGAGUCGGCCACCCCACUGGUGUUUUAAUUGUGGCAAAACAGCACGCAGCGUUUAAAUCAGCAGCCAAUUAAACAAGCUAGUGUUAAGUGUGCAAAAAGCGCAGGAAGAGCGCAACGGGCCACGCCACAAGCGUCGACAGCAACAACAA